GAAACUUCUAGUUCGAAAUGCCUUCCUCCUGGUUCUUCUCCAGCCAUCCCUAAACAGAGCCUGUCACUUGGAGAAGAAGAGAUGGCCAGCUGUGAGCGUCUGCAGUGCCCCCAGGAACCCCACUCAUUCCUGACGGCUGGGAUUUUCACUGACCAUUUGAGAAGGAGCUUACGCACGUAUAGAAGCUCAAGGAAAGUUUGUGUGUGUUUUUAAUUUAGUCUGUGGUCAAUGGCUUUUAAAAAGUUCCAAAUAAUGAUGAUCAUGUACUGAGUGCCCAUAUACGAGGCAAUGUAAAGUGUGCAUUGCACUUUUGGUGCACUGUUCAUUUACUCUUUGUAAACGUUAUGGGGUAGAAAUUAUAUCAUCAUCAUCAUCAUCAUCAUCAUCAUCUGUUUUAGAGAUGAGACUAAUGAGGCUUACAAGGGUAAUGCAGCUUGCUCCAAACCUUACAGUUAAUAAAGUCCCAGAACCAGGAUUCAAACCCAGGCCAGUGUGGAGCAGUUCGAUCAGGCACUGUUGAUUAGUGCCUGCAUGCUACAGCCAUUCCCUCUGUUUUAUGCUUGGCUUGUCUUUGGACAGCUGGUCUCUGGGGACCUGUGCCACUCUACUGUGCUACAACUAUGCAGUCUUACCACUGAAAACCCAUUAAUCUAAAGACCGAUUCUUCUAAAACCAUAUUCACCGUAUAUCUAAAAAGAGCAUUUUGUUUUUGUUUUGCGUUGGUGUUUGUUUAUUUGUCUUGACUCUCCCGUAAGAGCAAAACAUCUAAAUCUGUUCUUGUUACAUGUUAGGUGUUAGGGAUACCUCCACGUCUUUUUCAUCCCGGCGUCUUGUAGAGCCAGCCUUCUCCUUCCCCAGGCCACUAGGUAUUUCUGCUUUAUGACCAGACAUUGUCUCGUUUUAUAAACACGGCUGCUGCUCAGAAGUUCUCCACACCUUUGUUUCCUGGAAGAGGAAAUGACAUUUCCUGGAGCGGACUACAUGUGGGCGGUGAGGUUCUACUCAUUGUGUGAAACACACUCAGACUUUUGGUUGUGUACUUCAGUGUCUGCCCUAAAGUUUCCUGGAAUGAUGCUCAGGACAGACUGUGGUGUGGUUUCACCUUAGCCGGAAGAGGUAUGAUCCCUGCUUUGGAUCCAGAGCGAAGAAAUAAACGACAUCAAGAAUCCUAUCGCUGGAGAGAUCACAGUCCAUCUUCCUUCAACUUGGAAUCUGCAAAAGGGAGCCUGAGACACCACCUCGCUUUUAUUUUGGACCCAGCUGGCGAUUAUCUUCUACUUCCCGAAGAGGCCACUUCCUGCACCUUCCAUCACGGAUUUAGGAUAGAAACUAAAGAGACGAUGUCCUCAUUAUGAGCCUCGAUUCAGAGAAAGAAGAAAGUCACCACUCAGAGGGACACCAGUUUGGAUAAUUUCAUGAGGGGUUUGGCUGCCCAGCUGUCACUUUGCCAAAGGCCUGGCCGAGAUUGGUUUUAAAGUGGUCUUCCUGAAUCUCCAGAAGAAUCAGCGUGGUGUUAGACGACCAUGAUCUUCCCUACCCAGAGGCCUGAGAAACAUGUUGAGUCUUGCAUAAAUUUAUUCAGAAAAUGUCAAAAUUAUUCUAGAAGCUGUAGGUGAAAGUGACAGAGGCAAGAUGAAAAACAGGUAUUUUAAAUUCACAGCUUGGACAAGGGAAAGGGAGAUUUCUUGUUUCCCCUAGUCAAUCUAACUUUAUGCAUUCAGACGGGGAAAAAGGAUAAUUAGAAGCUAGAAAUUGUUAUUGCAUGAAGGGAGCUGUAAACAUGGAAGCCGAAAUUGGCUCUCCCCCAGGGGAGCAAAUAAACCUUGAUUCCUACUCAUAAUAAGAUUGACACCAACUCUUCCAAAUCAGGAAGGGGAAGGGUCAAUACAGAUUUUAUCCUGAGCUUAAAAGGCAGCAGUGUUCAUAAUGUAUUUUUUUUAAAGGUCCUAUGUUGUUAUGUAUGCCUGGUGAUGUUAAGCUAGUUUUUAGAUCUCACACAAGGUAUGGGAGUAGGUAUUAUGUCUUCAUUUAAGAAAGAGAUGAUGAGUGACCCAAUUUUAGGUGGCUAAUAUUUUUUGUGCAUUUAUGACACGUGCCAUGGCAUGGUGUUGAAUACUUUAAUUAUUUCAUUUGACUGUGACAAUGAAUCCCCCAAGAUGGGGAAUAUCCCCUUCACUUGGCAGAUGUGACAUCUGAGGCUUAGCGAUCAAACAAAUGACUUGCCAGGCUGUCACAAUGAGUGGUGGGGUGUGGCUUGACCCCCGGUCUGUUGACCCCAGAUUCAGGACCUUUGCCAUUAUAUACACGGAAACAAGACAAGAGCUGAAAUUACAGCCUGCCUCUUGGAACAGUAAAGUCAGUUGUGUGUGUUUAUGGAUAUCCCAACUAACAAGGUA